rnacentral:lncRNA from 1 species
GGAUGGUACAUAUGUGAUUAUCUAACCUGAAACUCUUUGGAAUUUUGCAAUUGAUAAGGGGGCGCUACUUCAAGCACAUGUUUUAAUUUCCAGCCUCUUUUCCAAAUAGCUGCCAAAGGAAGAACGCACAGAAAUUUGGUGACAUUCAAUUUUCAUAAAAUAAUUUAUUCCCCUCCCCCUCCCUCUUCUUCCACCUUGAAAAGAGGUUUGUUAAUUGUUGAAUUAGAUGAG